CCUACGGGGGGCAGCAGUGGGGAAUAUUGGACAAUGGGGGCAACCCUGAUCCAGCCAUGCCGCGUGUGUGAAGAAGGCCCUCGGGUUGUAAAGCACUUUCAGUGAGGAAGAACGCCUGGUGGUUAAUACCCAUCAGGAAAGACAUCACUCACAGAAGAAGCACCGGCUAACUCCGUGCCAGCAGCCGCGGUAAUACGGAGGGUGCGAGCGUUAAUCGGAAUUACUGGGCGUAAAGCGCGCGUAGGUGGCUUGAUAAGCCGGUUGUGAAAGCCCCGGGCUCAACCUGGGAACGGCAUCCGGAACUGUCAAGCUAGAGUGCAGGAGAGGAAGGUAGAAUUCCCGGGGUAGCGGUGAAAUGCGUAGAGAUCGGGAGGAAUACCAGUGGCGAAGGCGGCCUUCUGGACUGACACUGACACUGAGGUGCGAAAGCGUGGGUAGCAAACAGGAUUAGAUACCCGGGUAGUC
rnacentral:rRNA from 1 species